rnacentral:rRNA from 1 species
UACGGAGGGGGCUAGCGUUGUUCGGAAUUACUGGGCGUAAAGCGCACGUAGGCGGCUUUACAAGUCAGGGGUGAAAGCCCGCGGCUCAACCGCGGAAUUGCCCUUGAGACUGUAUCGCUUGAACACGGGAGAGGUGAGUGGAAUUCCAAGUGUAGAGGUGAAAUUCGUAGAUAUUCGGAAGAACACCAGUGGCGAAGGCGGCUCACUGGACCGUAGUUGACGCUGAGGUGCGAAAGCGUGGGGAGCAAACAGG